rnacentral:rRNA from 1 species
GGGCCACCGUUUGUUGAGUGCAAAUAUGGAUGACUGUUUUUGCCGGCUUCACUGUCGGCUUAUAAAGGGUUAUCAAAUAUCACUUUGAUUAAAUUAGAGUGCUCAAAGCAAGUGUGUUACUUGGAUAUAAAUGCAUGGAAUGAUGGAAUAUGUUGUUGUCUAUUUGUCGGUUUUUGAACGAUGAAAUGAUUGAAAGGAACCGUUGGGGGCAUUCGUAUUGUUGUGAGAGAGGUGAAAUUCUUAGACCACAGCAAGACGAACUACUGCGAAAGCAUUUGCCAAGAAUGUUUUCAUUGAUCAAGAACGAAAGUUAGAGGUUCGAAGGCGAUCAGAUACCGCCCUAGUUCUAACCAUAAACUAUGCCAACUAGCAAUCUGCUUAUAUAUGUUCUAUGAUUAAGUAGGCGGCCACGGGAAACCAAAGUAGGGUUAUGGGGGAAGUAUGGUUGCAAAGCUGAAACUUAAAGGAAUUGACGGAAGGGCACCACCAGGAGUGGAGCCUGCGGCUUAAUUUGACUCAACACGGGAAAACUUACCUGGUCCUGACACUAGAAGGAUUGACAGAUUGAUAGCUCUUUCUUGAUUUGGUGGAUGGUGGUGCAUGGCCGUUCUUAGUUGGUGGAGUGAUUUGUCUGGUUAAUUCCGAUAACGAACGAGACUCUAGCCUAUUAAAUAACACACAGAAUUUUGUCUUCUGUGGUGUUUCUUAAUGGGAUCAAGUG